AUUGAACGCUGGCGGCAGGCCUAACACAUGCAAGUCGAACGAGUGGCGGACGGGUGAGUAAUGUCUGGGAAACUGCCUGAUGGAGGGGGAUAACUACUGGAAACGGUCGAUAAUACCAUAUACCAUCAGAUGUGCCCAGAUGGGAGUAGCGAGUUGGUGGGGGAACGGCACACCAAGGCUACGAUCACUAGCUGGUCUGAGAGGAGGACCAGCCACACUGGAACUGAGACACGGUCCAGACGCCUACGGGAGGCAGCAGUGGGGAAUAUUGCACAAUGGGCGCAAGCCUGAUGCAGCCAUGCCGCGUGUAUGAAGAAGGCCUUCGGGUUGUAAAGUACUUUCAGCGGGGAGGCGUUACCCGCAGAAGAAGCACCGGCUAACUCCGUGCCAGCAGCCGCGGUAAUUC
rnacentral:rRNA from 1 species